rnacentral:rRNA from 1 species
UAGGGAAUAUUGGGCAAUGGUCGGAAGACUGACCCAGCCAUGCCGCGUGAAGGAUGAAGGGUCUACGACUUGUAAACUUCUUUAGCUAGGGAAGAAAAAGAGAGUGCGCUCUUUAUUGACGGUACCUAGAGAAUAAGCACCGGCUAACUACGUGCCAGCAGCCGCGGUAAUACGUAGGGUGCAAGCGUUGUCCGGAUUUAUUGGGUUUAAAGGGUGCGCAGGCGGCCUAUUAAGUCAGUGUUGAAAUACGGCGGCUCAACCGCCGGUCCGGCACUGAUACUGAUGGGCUUGAGUUUACUGGAGGCAGGCGGAAUUUAUGGUGUAGCGGUGAAAUGCAUAGAUACCAUAAAGAACACCGAUAGCGAAGGCAGCUUGCCGUGGUAUAACUGACGCUCAGGCA